rnacentral:lncRNA from 13 species
CCAGGCCUGCUCCUUUCGCCUGCACAUUAUUUUCCGCUAAUCAGCAUCACUCUGCCCCGAGGGAUGCCAGCCCAGAGCCCCACCAGCUGCGCAGAGGAGCCACUCCCCUGUUCCCAGCACGCUUGGCUGGGUUUGGGAAGACUGGGCAUUAGUGGAGCUGACAGCCCCAUCUGUUUCCUCCUGAGGCGCAGAAGUACUCUGAGCAGGCCUGCUACCUAUGAACACUCGGGCCCAGGCUGAGCUGGGGAAAACCCCCUCCCCAGCCGGAGCCCCCCACCCACCCUCUCGAUGGUCCUGCCAAGGUGCCGGAGAUCAACCGAGAGUCAGGCCCUGCCACCCAGGCACCAGCCUGGGGGACCGGACACUCUAUCGGGAUGGGCACUCAGGCCCUUGAAGGCAGCAGUAACGGCAGCCACAGCAGAACAAUGGCCUCGAUGGUGACCCGGCAGGAGACGCUGUCACAGACUCCUUCCACUUCAACCACCAACAGUCAGAUGUGCGUUCGCCUGUCCUUACCCAUCAAGAUCGUCAAAACCGUGAAACUCCUGCACCCAAGUGUCUGUGCAUCAGGACAGGUCCUCUCCCUACUGCUGCGGGAGGACCCAGCGAGGCGGACGGCUGGCAGAGCAGACAGGGGCCCUGGGCGAGCGCUUCAACCCCACCAAGCCUGUGAGACACGGAGCGGUUGGAGGGAGCUCAAAGCGCCGUUUCCACUGGACGUGCGUCCCUCUGGCAUCACUGUAAGGUCAAAACGUUGUAAGUUGAACCAUCAUAAUCUGGGUAUCAUCCGUAAAACCAUGCUAGGGACAGGGUGCUCACUGGCCACAGGGAGGCCGCCAGCUGCAGGGGCACGGGGUGGCUAGUCCUCUGAGCAGGGACGGGGAGCCUCCAGCAAGAUUUUCCUGGAAGUGUUUCCCACUUGUUCCCAGCUGCAGAGAGUUAAAUGGUGGCUCCAAAAGGACAGAGCCAUGUCCUAACCCCGGGAACUUGUGAAUGGGACCUUAUGGGAAAAGGAACUUUUGCAAAUGAAACAAAUUAAGGAUCUCUAGAUGAGAUCGCCCUGACUUACCAGAUUGGGCCUUAAGUCCAAUGACAAGUGCCUUAUGACAGACGCACAAAGGAGAGACACUGGGAGAAGAGAAAAGCGGAGGCAGAGCCUGGAGCGAGGCAGCCACAAGCCAAGGAAUGUCGGCCACCCAGGGCCGGAAGUAGCAGGAAGGACCCUCCUCCCAAGGGGGUGUGGCCUGUGACACCCGGAGUCUCCCAGGCCCCAGAACUGGGAGGGAAUCAGCUGCUGUUGCUUUAGGCCACUUGUCUGUAGCACUUGGCCCCGCAGCCCCAAGACACUCAUUCACCAGCCACAGGAAGACCAGGAGGCCGGCAGUUAGGGUGUGGCUGAGCUGAGACCUGGGUUCAAAUCUUGGCUCUGCCCCUUACUCACUCUGCUCCUCGGCAAGGCAAAUUCCUGCACCUCUCUGAGCCUCAGUUUCUACAUCUUAAAAUGAGAACAGCGGUUGAAUCUUCCAGGGACCAGGGUGAUGAUACGAGAUGACAGGUGGGUGGGGAGGCAGUCACGGUGCCCAGGCCCCCUCCACAGAGCUUCCAUCCACCCCCAUGGUGUCAGGUAGGUGAGGGUCACUGUUCCCAGGCCGCCUCCACAGAGGUUCCAUCUACCCGCAUGAUGUCACCUCUACCUAACAGCACCAAAGGCCCCCAGGGACCCAUAGAAGUGAGUUUUGGGGGUUUUAGGGAGUAAGCGCAAUUCCUGCCCAUACCAGAAGGAAGCAGAGCCAUGUGCAGACACACCCACACUUCCAGGAUGCCACUCAGGAGGCAGACACUGCUUCCAAGCCGCCUCUCGGA